rnacentral:rRNA from 1 species
UACAGAGGUCUCAAGCGUUGUUCGGAUUCAUUGGGCGUAAAGGGUGCGUAGGUGGCGCGCUAAGUCAGGUGUGAAGUUGUUCGAGCUUAACUCCGAAACUGCAUUUGAUACUGGCGUGCUUGAGGACUGGAGAGGAGACUGGAAUUCAUGGUGUAGCAGUGAAAUGCGUAGAGAUCAUGAGGAAGACCAGUGGCGAAGGCGGGUCUCUGGGCAGUAACUGACGCUGGAGGAGCGAAAGCGUGGGGAGCGAACAGG